rnacentral:rRNA from 1 species
AUUGAACGCUGGCGGCAGGCCUAACACAUGCAAGUCGAGCGAGCGGCGGACGGGUGAGUAAUGUAUGGGGACUGCCCGAUAGCGGGGGAUAACUAAUGGAAACGGUAGCUAAUACCGCAUACUAUCGGAUAACCCAUAUGGGAUUAGCUAGUAGGUGAGGGAAUGGCUCACCUAGGCGACGAUCCAUAGCUGGUCUGAGAGGAUGAUCAGCCACACUGGGACUGAGACACGGCCCAGACUCCUACGGAGGCAGCAGUGGGGAAUCUUGCGCAAUGGACGAAAGCCUGAUGCAGCCAUGCCGCGUGUAUGAAGAAGGCCUUAGGGUUGUAAAGUACUGUCAGUAGGGAGGCGUUACCGACAGAAGAAGCACCGGCUAACUCCGUGCCAGCAGCCGCGGUAAUAC